CCGAGUUUACAACUCCCGAAACCCCUGUGAACAUACCACUUGUUGCCUCGGCGGAUCAGCCCGCUCCCGGUAAAACGGGACGGCCCGCCAGAGGACCCCUAAACUCUGUUUUCUAUAUGUAACUUCUGAGUAAAACCAUAAAUAAAUCAA
rnacentral:misc_RNA from 1 species